rnacentral:rRNA from 1 species
UACAGAGGGUGCAAACGUUGAUCGGAAUUACUGGGCGUAAAGCGAGUGUAGGCGGCCUUGUAAGUCGGAUGUGAAAGCCCUGGGCUCAACCCAGGAAGUGCAUUCGAUACUGCGAGGCUUGAGUAUCGGAGAGGUUGGUGGAAUUCUAGGUGUAGAGGUGAAAUUCGUAGAUAUCGAGAGGAACACCGGUGGCGAAGGCGGCCAACUGGACGAAUACUGACGCUGAGACUCGAAAGCGUGGGGAGCAAACAGG